UUCAUUAUUUUUCGUUGCUGUUUUGCUUAAAAAAAGUUAAUAUAUAAAUGACGUGUUAAAAUACGAAAUAUUUUUAAUACCUAUUUAUGUUCGAGCCACAUAAAUUUUCACUUUAAAUACGAUACGUCAUUCAGCAGUCGGUAGUAGCAUUGAUCAUUUAUCGGGCAAUAGGUGUUGAGAUUUUUUCCUUGUGUUGCAUGACAUUGCUUCUUGCCAAAUGUCAUGAUUAUAGUUCAACGUAAAAGAACACAACAUCUGAUGAGUACUUACAAAUUUAGAAGGAUGACCAGUGCGUUACACUCUUUUGUGAUUGUGAUAAUAAGAUG